rnacentral:misc_RNA from 1 species
GUACUUGACUGUCUCGUCGCCGCCGCCGGCCUUUGUCGCACUUGCACUCUUGUGUAUCUCGGAGGCGAGCACAAAAGGAGAGAUCGAAAAAAAAAGAAUACACAAGACGGAUCUACCUUUGGGCCUCACUUCACGUGCAACGCUCCGCAUAAUCGGACUCCCUAUCUUCGUUUUCCUCCAUCUCUUCUCUCCCCCUUGUCGUUCGCGUUCUUGUAUCUUGUCCGUUUCGUUUUCGAGUCUCUUGUCGUUGCUGCUGCUGCGACUUGCCCUCUUCUCUCCCUUCUUCGGUCGCACUCCCCUCCCCUCCCGACGUGUAUCUUCGAUUGCAUUUUUUCUUUCAUCUGCCCUUUUCCUUUCUCUCUUUUCGGUUUGGCGCGGUUGCCAUUACGCUCCUCUCGGUGUGCAUUCCUUCUCUUCUCCCCCCUUCGCACGCGCCUCGGUGUCGGUACUCUCGCUCUUAGAGCGGUUACACUUUUCAGUUGGUCUGAUUUCGUAAGCCUCGCUGUCCGGCUCGCACGCGCUUCUCCAGAGUCUCUCUUUCUCUUCCACCUCCCUGACCGGUUCGUGCCCACACACCCUUUACUCGCACUCCAUCACUGUGGGCUUUGGCGGUUUGUUUUUGUUCAUGUGUGUGUUUUUGGUGGAAUUGACUACAUCUGUUGUGCAUCUCUGCCUGUCUGUGUGUCUGUGUGUGUUUGGAGGGUUCUCGGCACUGCCCCUCUCACUUGCAUUUCUCUGCUUGUUGCUGCUGACCCUGCGUUGCAUGAGGAUUGCCUGCGCAGUGUGAACGAACCGCUGCUGUGCCUUGUACAAUACACUGGGACUGUUGGAGGGCGCUGGUGCAGUGUUGGUGGCUUCUGUUGUCAGCACGUCUCCUCUUUCCUUUUUUCUGUUUGCGCCGAAAGGGGGUAUCGUACACGAACAAAGGCUUGUAUCACCUUUGCGCCUCCAUCCGAGGGCACUGCCGCGCCUUCCUCCCAGCCCCGGCCUUUUUUGUCUUCUAGAUAGCUGUGCGAGGAGGGGUACGUUCUGGAGCUUGUUGUCGUCGUGACGAAGUGCGACAGGAGGGUGAGUGCGGGUGGGGUGGGGGCUGGAGAGUCGGAAACAACCGCUUUGGCGUGUCUCGUUGUCGCAUCUGUUUUUUUUUUUUCCUUCUCUUUGAUCUUCGUGCCCUGUCGUGCUUCGCACCCCGCACGUUGUCCUUUUAUUUUUCGUUGUCUUGCUCCCUGCAUUCUAUCACCCACCCGCCCCUACGCUACCGUAUACACCGACUCGCACUCUUUCUCAUCAUCAGCAGGAGCUCUCGCUCCUCCUUUUUUUCCUUCGCUCACGCAUCUCCGCUCGUGUGCCUCGGCUUGUUCGUACUGUGUCUCCGACAACGAUCAUCACCUCGAAAGCCUCUCCUCUCCUCUCGCUGCUGCUUUGCUCGUGUAUUUGUGUUCGCGUUGAAAAGGGCCUACCCUCCAUCCGAUUACGAAUAUAGACGCCACCCAUGACGAUGGCAAACCUCUGCCUUGGCGAGGAUUUUAGUGAGGAGCUCACCUGCGCGGUGUGUCUUGACUCAUGGAAGGACCCGGUCGAGCUGAUGCCGUGUGGGCACAUCUUCUGCAAGGCGUGUGCGACGGGCUUGAAGGAGUGCCCCGUGUGUCGGGACCCCAUCCGCUCCACAAAAGCGCCGAACCGCACAUUAGUCAACAUGGCGCUGCAGAUCCGGGUAAAGUGUAGACGGUGCCAGUGGAAGGGGACACGUGAGCAAGGGAUGAGCCACGUAUGCGGGAAGGCGAGCUGCAGCUCGCCGAACCAGCCAUCGUGUCCGCCUUGGAUUACAAAGUCGCAGCCACAGCAGCACCCCACUGCGGCCAAGUUUCCCUCUCCAUACACGCAGCAGUCGUCGAAUUCAGGCUACGCGUCAUCACCCGGACAGACACAGCAACCAACACAGAACUAUCCGGAUUUGUGGGAGAGCGGUGCUCCGACGCAGCUUCCGCAGCAGUCGGCUGGAUACUCGACGGGCUGCGGCAACGCUUACUCAGGUGCUGCCCCACCUCCUAGUGGCGGCAACGCAAGCUCUCAAGGAAGCUACCCCACCACCAACUACUUGAAUCAGUCCAGGGCGGGCUACUCCGGCUACAAUCAGCAGCCACAACCGUCACGCUCGCUGCAGAGCCGCUACCGCGUGAUUGAGCCGACCGGCCCACGCCCGUGGACGCUGUACGGAUUGGACCAGUCCGAGUACGACCAGAUCGUUUCUCUCUUUGUUUUCUUCGACGAUAACGAAAGCGGUAAUCUGGAGCCGAAUGAGGUGACCCGUCUCGCACGUUGGCUGAACUUUGCGAACACUCCGCAGGACGUGAAGCGGAUCUUCGACGAUAUGGAUUUUGAAGGCAGCGGAAAGCUCUCCCUCGGCGAGUUCUUGACGUGGCUUCGGUACAACAAGCCGAACCCGCAGGCCCUCUACGGCCUCACGCAGUCGCAGUACAAUACAAUCAUGAUGCAGUUCCAUACGUACGACACGAAUCAGGACGGGUGCCUAGAAAUGAACGAGUUUUCUCGGUUAGUGCAGAAUCUCGGCGACGUGGGCGAUGCUGUCACAGCGCAGCGUCUGUUCCAGAUGAUCGACCAGGAUCGCGACGGUGUCAUCAGCCUGCACGAGUUUCUCCGUUUCCGGGCGGGGAAAGGCUGACCAUAGCGAGGGAGAACCGAGGCUGCCCGAAGUGGCUCGAUGACAGAAGAGGGCGCAGGAGAGGGGCGGUCGAGCGUUAUCUUGUGAGUCGGAGAAGCAAGGCUGGAGUUGUUGUUGCAGAGGAUCAGAGAAAUACCCACCACAGACCUAUCGUCUCCCUCUCCAGGCUUUAUCGUGUGACAAGUACAGACGGGCAGUGUAUGACAUGACGAUCGUGAGGAUGGUGGACUGUCUCGUGGUGGUACAGCGGGACGCUGUGAACGUACGUGUGGUAAGGGGCGGCGUGCUGACCACGGUGACGGAUCCGUUGUAUUCUGUGGCAGUGCAACUAUUUCCUUUUUGUGGGAUGCUGUGUUAUUGCUGAACACGUGGAGCGGUGGUCGCCGCCGGCUGCCGUUCCCUUCUUCCUUGUUUGUGGUAGCACUGCUUCUCUUCUUUCGCUUCUCUAGUUCUUUCCCGUCUGCUGUCCCACUCUUUCUUUCUGAGGAUUUCUUCCACGCGCCAUUUCAUGUAUCAUGGCCUCCUGCGAAACCCCAUGUGCGCGUGCGUGGUGGACGGGGCUCGUCGCCUUUUUCACGGAAAUCCUAAGGAAAACAACUAAACACCGAAAAGAAAGGCGCAGCGGGCCAGCCGGCGGCCCUGCGCAUCGACUACUCGCCUCGUGUGUGUUUGUGUUUUGAAUUCAUGCCUCCUUUUUGGUUAUGCGCACAGUUUUGCGCUGGCUGAACGGGGGACUAGGUGUCGCUGCUGGCGGAGGUGAUGCACAGGGUCGAGAGCGGCUCCGGCAGCGUGGCAGGAACACCACAUGUAUUGACAUGUGCACAGCGACAUGGACCUCGUUGCUUAGAAGGCAAGGGGGUGUGCGCAGGCAGGUCUGUCACAGUGCGCUCGGAGCGAGAGAGGAGAUGCGGCCUGCGCGAAGAGGGUUUGGUGCGAGGUACGUUGAGGAGGGAGUUAUAAAGGGCUCUAGUCGAGGCGGAGAAGGGUCCUACUGCUCGUGCGUGGGUGGUAUAUGCUUGUACUAGCUCAUGCUCUUAGCUGUUGUUGCUGUGGAUGCGGGUGAUGCAUCGCCUUCUGACCCCCACCCCCUCUUCCCUAUGCAGACUUCGAUGUCGGCUGUGCACGUGUGUAGGGGGUUUUUCGAGGUCUGUUACUGCGAUUCCUAACUUUGUCCUUUUUUUUCUCGGCUCGUUAUUGCCUCUCUGCAACCACUUUCCUCCCUCUCAAGAAAGAGGGCGUUGUUUUGCUUCGUCAUCAUAGUCGUGACGGUCGGCGUGAACGACACACACACACACACACGAAAUGCGAAAACGAGCGUGCACUUACAUGAGAGGGCGAAGGCUGCAGAUGGUGGUGUGUAGUGCGUAUGUGCGCACGCGCCUGUGUGCGACAGUUUGCGUUCUCGGAAGUGUGUCUCCGAGGUAUGUGUGCAGGGGCCUGCGUGCGAUGGCGCCGCUGGG